AUAUUUCACACGCGUUUUGCCCUUACACGAUUUCCAAAAACAAAAUUUAUGAACGCAUCAGCUGCAAGAACUCAUAGUUUAGGAGUGUGUGUGUGUGUGUAUACAUAUAUAUGUGUAUAUAUAUGUGUAUAUAGAUAUAUAUAAAUCAUAAUUCUUCAGCACAGACCAAAGGUAAAUAAGAUGUCAGGCCAGUAGACAACUAAACUGCAAAUAAGUUAGAAAGCUGCAGGUGAACAACGCAAAGGUAAACGAGUGUCACAGUAGUUGAAAGUUUGUGCAGGUUUCUUUGUGUUGGAGAUGAGGGCAAAGGGAAGGGGAGAAGAGAAACUAAAUGGAAGCAAAAAUUAAAAGAAGCUAAAGGAGAAGACACAAGGUGGAACAAAAAAUAACAGAAGUUGGAGCCAGCAGUAACAAGAUAAAGAAGUCUGGCUAGAAACUGUAAUUGCUAUAGAAUAUUAGACUGAGAUUUAAUAACUCCUAUAGAAGACUAAUGUUAAAUUGAUUAUUCUUUAGGUAAAAAUCACACAAGAAUAAGAGUUCAGUGAAAUGUAAGAAUGGCCAAUUCUUUAAGAGGUGAAGUGUUGAAUCUUUACAAAAAUCUGCUGUACCUUGGAAGGGAAUAUCCCAAAGGAGCAGACUACUUUAGAAGCCGUUUGAAAGCAGCUUUCCUAAAAAAUAAAGAUGUGAAAGAUCCUGAAAAAAUUAAGCAACUAAUUGCACGAGGAGAAUUUGUUAUAAAAGAGUUGGAGGCUUUGUACUAUCUCAGAAAAUACAGAGCUAUGAAACAGCGCUACUACGAGGAUGACAAUAAAUAACUAUGGUGUUAUCGACUGCAUGUGAUGAUACAAAUGGGUGAAGUGUAGAUGCUGAACAGGAAAUUAUAUGUACCUGAAGAGCUGUAUGUUUUAAUGAUGAUUCGAGUUGCUACACUUCUCUUACUUAGAAGAUUAAUCUAGUUUUGAAAGUCUUCCACGUUUAAUGUUCCUUUUCUACAAGUGAGCACUUUCUCAAAAGUAAAGCAUUGCUAGUUCAAGAACCAACACUCAAAGAAUACUGGCACUUAAGAGGAAUGAAGUUUCCACUGUCAUUUAAAACAAGCAUUCAGGUAAAGCUAACAGGAUCAUGAAGCAGAAAGUAAAGUAAUGCUAAAACAAAUGCUAAUAAUUUAGUGUAAUGUACAAAAAUUACUUAAGUACGUCUUAAGAAUAAGGAUAAAUUGUAUUUACAUAAUUA